rnacentral:rRNA from 1 species
UUGGCACCUCGAUGUCGGCUCAUCGCAUCCUGGGGCUGGAGAAGGUCCCAAGGGUCCGGCUGUUCGCCGGUUAAAGCGGUACGCGAGCUGGGUUCAGAACGUCGUGAGACAGUUCGGUCCUUAUCCACUGUGGGCGCAGGAGGCUUGAGGGAUUCCUUCCCUAGUACGAGAGGACCGGGAAGGACGCACCUCUGGUGUGGCAGUUGUCCCGUCAGGGGCAGCGCUGCGUAGCCAUGUGCGGAAGAGAUAAGCGCUGAAAGCAUCUAAGCGCCAAGCUCCUCCCAAGAUGAGGCCUCCCGGACCGCAAGGUCCCUGAAGACCCCCGGAAGACUACCGGGUUGAUAGGCCAGACGUGUAAGCGGGGUAACCCGUUCAGCCGACUGGUCCUAAUCGGUCGUGCGGCUUGAUCGU